rnacentral:lncRNA from 1 species
AUGGGAACGCAAGCAUGCCUCCAUCACCACCACCAUCAUCAAUCAAGAAACACUUGCCUCACACCUCCUCUGGAGCACACUGGGAGAUUCAGAUAUGUCCCUACGUAUCUUCCCCAAUCCACUUUGGAAUACACACAAAAUCAUGAGAUUAACUGCAUUUGCUGCUGAUACUAAUGGAAGUGCACUGUAUUUGUGGGUAUGUUUUUUUUUUUUUUUUUUUGUGGGGAAAAACAUUUGAAGAACACCUCAAGGGCAAUGGGUAACAUUGAACACUCUCAGUAAUGUAUUAACAUGGUUAAAACAUUAGAGGAAAACAAGAUUGAAAAUAUGGAAAUAUGGAGACUAGUCAGAAAGCAGUGGGAGAUAACUAGAGGGAAAGAUGCCUAAGAUGCUGGCCACAGGAAUGAAGAGAAGUGUUUGGAUUCUAGAAAAACUUAGAAGUUAAAACUAACGGGAUUAAGUUGUGGAUUGGUGAGAGCAAGGAAAGACCUGAGGAUCACAGUGAGCAACUGUGUAGAAGGUAGUAACAGAUAUAGAUGGGAGGGGAAAAUAUAUUUGUGGAAAAAGUCAGAUGUAGAAGAGUUUACCUGCUAAAUUGGAAUGGAGGGGUGAUAUUAUCAUGGGUGCUAAUAUCCAAAAUAACCUUUAUAGGUGGGGAUAAGAAACAAUUCUCUGGUUUUAGUUUUCUAGCUCAAAGAAACUAGAAAUAACAAAUUUCAAAGCAAGAUGGAGAACUUAAAACUAACUAAAGAAAAGGUCAGAGCAGGUAUUGAGGUGCUCUUGGAGGGAGAGGUGAUUUUUGUAGCUCUUCAUAUCAUACUCUAGAGUUAGAGACCCAUCUCAUCUCCUUGUUGGAUAACCCUAGUGUUACUUAUCCUCACAUAUGGGCUAUAAUGCAUCCCUGGAAAAAAACAGUGACCUGAAUUAUCUUAAUGAGCCACGUGACCCAGGAAAGUGGGGACUGUUUUCCCAGAGCUAUUCUGAUUGAUUGCAUUCCCCGUGCAUUAGUGACUAAAGUCCCCUAUUUGGCUUUGGUUGUACAGAUACUGCUGAAAUGCAUCACUGAAGCCUAACCAAGAACUUGUAAGAAUAAGUGCUACCCAAGCAACGCAGAAGAAAAUAAAUGCAAAGACAGUCAUAAAAAAGUGAAAUGAUAUAUCCUCACUUCAGUCACUUGAUUCCUAACCUGAGGUAGACACUUCUCAGAUUGAUCACUGAGGCCUUUGGCAUGAAAAAGUAUGAUUUUUGAGCCUGUAUAUUUUGAAGAUUCCUGAAGAAAAACCUAACACAGGGCUGCUGAGUUUCCCCCAACAUAAUCUGCUCUGGAGACACUGUGGAAGCAAAAAAAAUUAUUGAUCUGGAGAAAUAACAUAAAGACAGUGAGAAAUCCCAGGGAGACUACAAGCUGUUGUGAAUUGGUCUGGGAGGAAUCAGGAAUCCCUUUAGGACCAAUGCAGCUUGACAGCAGCAAUGAAAUAUAGAUUGGGGCAGAUUUUUUAAGCUCUGCUCUUGUCUUACCCUUUGUUGUGUUGGGAUAAUCAUUGCUUGCUCCUUUACAUCAAAAAUCACACAUAACACAAAGGUCUAUGGUGUGGAUGUUCUUAGAGCAGCCUUUUGAGGGGGAGGGGCUGGUGUAGGAAUAACUGUCUAGUAACCCUUGCCUAGUCAUUAAUCCAAUCUCCUCUCCACCAAACCCCCAGGGCUGGAAAUUUAUAACCUGAAAGGAUUGUCACCUCCUAGUGUUGCUUCUAAGAGUUUAGAAGUGAAUGCCAAAACAGAGCUAUUGCCUAAUGGAAUGGAGCAAACUAGAUUAGUCUGAGGGAUUCUGUGGUGCCUAGGGCUCUAUAGCUUAUUCCUCUAAUCCCUCCUUCUUAAUCAUUCAGUCCUUCAGUCCUUCAGUCCUUCCCUUGUAUAGCAUAGAAUUUUCAGUCUGUGGGUGUGGACUCAAUAUGGUGACUAGUUACUAGUAUUUUUCAAUUAAAUCAAAUAGACCACGAAAUACCACAGUGCAUUGCUCACCAUAAAAUAAAUAUUAUUUUGUAAUAUAUGUCCAAAAUAGAUUUACAAAUAUCAUUUUGUAAUCUAUAUCAAAUGGGUCAUGAGAGGUAAAAUGUAUUUCUUAUUGCAGAAUAAGAUCAAAAAAGUUUAAGAGCCUCAUAUGGCUGUUAUCCCCAGGCAAACAUAACUUCAAACACAGCUGAGAUGCAAACUAUAACAUAAAGGUAAUACACUGAGCAAAAAUAACUGCAUGAUGAAGAACUUUUGGAAUAGAUAAUCCAAAUAAGCAUAAAGAAUGUACUUAAAUGGAAAAUGAGGAUAUUAAGAGUGUUACAAAGUUCUAAGAAGAAAGAAAAAAAGAACAAGGUGAAAUAUGAGGUGUGAAAGUGUGAUGGGUGAAUAAAGAGCACUAGUUUGUAAUUUGUAAAACAAAUUAGUGUGCUGAAAUAGCAGAUUGAAGACCUUUCCCAAAAGACAGCAAAAGAAAAUAAAUAGGACAUACAUAACAAAGAGAAUAAUACUUGUAAAGAUUACAAAUGUAAGCAAAAGCAGAUGGGUAAUAGAAGCACUAGAUGGAUAUUUUUUAAAAACACAAAUGAAAAAAAUAUUUGAUAAAAAAAAUGAAUUUCCCAACUUAUAGAAAGAUUGAAAAGAGGACCUUUAUGGAGCACAAAAUAAUAGAUAAAACCCUAUAUCUGUACAUAAUAUAGUAAACUAACAUCCAAAAAAAAAAAAAAAAGAAAUUCUAAAAGCUUCCAGAAUGAAAGAGCAAAUAUAUUACAAAGAAACAAGAUUACACUGAAAAGAAAGAAGCAAGAAGAUAAUAUAGUAUUAUUCCUAAGGUGUAGAAAGAAAAAGUCUGUGACCAUAAUAUUUUAUAUUUACCAAUAUGUCAUUUAAAUAUGAUUGAAAAAAUAUCCUCACAAGAUUUGCCAAAGUCCAAACUUUGGUGCCCUCUUUAAGGAAAGUGCUCUAACAAAAUAGAGCUAGUCUCUGGAGAAUAAUUAAAGAUAUGCAGAAAUUAAUGUACUUAAAUCACUUUUUAAAACAUAUUGUCAUAUAAAAAAUAAGAACAACUUAAGUAAAAAAGACAUCUGAAACAAAUUAGAACUAAAAUUUUAGAAAAAUCAAAAGAAUAAAUAAUGCAAGAGAGAAUAUUUCUCUUUGGAAGGAAGAUAUGGCUUUAUAUUUCAAUAAAUGAAUAUAAAAUGUAAUUUUUUAGAAAACUACAACUUACCAAAAAUAACCCAGUGGAGAUAAAGAAUCUGAACAGAUCAUUUUCCAUAGAAGAAAUAAAAAUAGUAAAAGAGAACCUCCCACCCCCCCACCCCCCCACACACACAAAAGGACUAGGUACAGAAGAUUUCACAGGCAAAUUCUACCAACUUUACUUUUAUGAAGCAAUUAAAACAUGAUGCAAAAGCCUGACAAAGAUUUCUUCAUAAAAAAUACAGACUAAUCUCACUUAAAAAUAUAAUACUGCAGAAUUUUUAUACAACUCGUAUAUUAGCAAACAGAAUCGAACAACACAUUGGAGCAUGAUUAUUAUGACUAAAUAGACUUAACUUGUGUGGUUUGACAUUUGAAAACCCUUACUAUAAUUCAUCAUUAUAGUCAAGUAAAGGCAAAAAAUUAUCAUCUCCAUAGAUACAGGAAAGGUACUUGACAAAAUUCAAUUAUAGAUUUUAUUAAUUUUAAAAACAAUGAAAUAGGAAUGAAUGAAGAAGUUCUUAACAUUUUGUCUACCUACCUACCUACGUGUCUAUCUCUUCAAAUGCUAGUGUAUUUCUGUCCUACAAAGAUCCAGAAAAGGCUAGCCACUAGUUCCUUUGCUAUUAAACAUUGUGUUGGGGUUUCUGACCAAUCCAAUUAGAUAGAAGUAUGUACUAUGAAUAAAACGUUAUGUCCUCCUAGAAUUCUUAUGUUGAAACUCUAAUCCCCAAUGUGAUAAUAUUUGAUGACGAGACAUGUAGGUGGUAAGGGUGAAGCCUUCAUGAUGAGGGUGAAGCCUUCAUGAUGGGAUUACUGCCCUUUUAAGAAGAGACCGGUAAGGGCUUGCUUCACCCUGCUCUCUCCAGAAUGUGGGGAUAUAACUAGGAAGAGGGCUUUCACCAGGAACCAAAUUAUCUGGAACCUUGAUCUUGGGCUACACAGCCUCCAGAACUGUGAGAAACAGAUUUCUGUUGUUUAAGCCAUCUGGACUAUGGUAUCUUGUUUAAACAGCCUGACCAGACUAAGACAGUUUGUAGUAUGCUCCCUUUAAUUUAAGAAAGUAGAUGGAUACAUAUAUUUUAAAGCAUUUACCUGCAAGGAAUGAAGGGAACAGGACAAAGAGAUUGAGAUAAAAACUAGACUCAUAUGAAUAUAACUAACUGAUCAUUGAUAAAGAAGUAAAUACAAUUCAAUGGAAGAAGGUACUCUUUUCAACAAAUGGUGCCAGAGUAUUGGUAUUCAUAUGCAAAAAAGAUAAAUCAGAACAGAAUCCUUUCACAUAAAUGAACUAAAUAUAAUUUUACUAUCCAAUCCAACAAUUGCAUUCCUACAUACUUACCCAAAUAAGAUGUCCACACAAAAGUGACAAACAAAUAUUUAGAGUGGCUUGAUUCGUAAUUGCCAAAAACUGAAAGUGACCAAAACGUCCUUCAAUAGGUGAAUAGAUAAAGAGCAGUAAUACAUACAAUGGAAUAUUAUUCAGUGAUAAAAAUAAAUUAC